UGUCUGUUGGCGGUGAGCGCUCAUGCGCACUCUGCGGCGGUGUCGCAUGUGUCGCGAGUGGACCACCACAAGCAUGGUCACGACCACCAUGACGUGAAGAUCCACCACCCCGUGCACCACCACGACCACCAUGACCAUGGUCACCACGGACACCACGAUGAUGGACACCACGGUCACCAUGAUGGACACCACGGACAUGACGAACACCACCACUGGGAUCAUGAACGUCACCACCCCUCGUACAAGUUUGAGUACUCAGUGAAGGACCACCACACGGGCGACCACAAGUCGCAGCACGAGCACCGCGACGGCGACCACGUGAGCGGCUCCUACUCCCUGGUGGAGCCUGAUGGCAACGUGCGCUCUGUUCAUUACACCGCUGACGACCAUCACGGUUUCAGAGCUGAUGUUCACCACAAGACGGCUCACCACCACAUCAUCCCCCACCACCAUCAUGACCAUCAUCAUGAUCAUGGUCACCACCAUUAAACUGGACUGUAUCAUCCCUCCGAACUCUUCGAUCUCGACUAAAUAUACCCAUUUAUCAUUAACUUUCUCGCAAAGUACGCCAGCGCUGACGAAUAAAACCAAUAGAACAAAAAUAUCAUCUUUAAUUUGUCAACCUUAUAUCUAAACCAUUUCUCUGAA